rnacentral:rRNA from 3 species
CUGCGAUAAGCGCCGGUAAGGUGAUAUGAACCGUUAUAACCGGCGAUACCCGAAUGGGGAAACCCAGUGUGACUCGUCACACUAUCAUUAACUGAAUCCAUAGGUUAAUGAGGCGAACCGGGGGAACUGAAACAUCUAAGUACCCCGAGGAAAAGAAAUCAACCGAGAUUCCCCCAGUAGCGGCGAGCGAACGGGGAGGAGCCCAGAGCCUGAAUCAGCAUGUGUGUUAGUGGAAGCGUCUGGAAAGGCGCGCGAUACAGGGUGACAGCCCCGUACACAAAAGCGCAUGUGCUGUGAGCUCGAUGAGUAGGGCGGGACACGUGGUAUCCUGUCUGAAUAUGGGGGGACCAUCCUCCAAGGCUAAAUACUCCUGACUGACCGAUAGUGAACCAGUACCGUGAGGGAAAGGCGAAAAGAACCCCGGCGAGGGGAGUGAAAAAGAACCUGAAACCGUGUACGUACAAGCAGUGGGAGCACCCUUUGGGUGUGACUGCGUACCUUUUGUAUAAUGGGUCAGCGACUUAUAUUCUGUAGCAAGGUUAACCGAAUAGGGGAGCCGGAGGGAAACCGAGUCUUAACCGGGCGUUAAGUUGCAGGGUAUAGACCCGAAACCCGGUGAUCUAGCCAUGGGCAGGUUGAAGGUUGGGUAACACUAACUGGAGGACCGAACCGACUAAUGUUGAAAAAUUAGCGGAUGACCUGUGGCUGGGGGUGAAAGGCCAAUCAAACCGGGAGAUAGCUGGUUCUCCCCGAAAGCUAUUUAGGUAGCGCCUCGUGAAUUCAUCUCCGGGGGUAGAGCACUGUUUCGGCUAGGGGGCCAUCCCGGCUUACCAACCCGAUGCAAACUGCGAAUACCGGAGAAUGUUAUCACGGGAGACACACGGCGGGUGCUAACGUCCGUCGUGAAGAGGGAAACAACCCAGACCGCCAGCUAAGGUCCCAAAGUCAUGGUUAAGUGGGAAACGAUGUGGGAAGGCCCAGACAGCCAGGAUGUUGGCUUAGAAGCAGCCAUCAUUUAAAGAAAGCGUAAUAGCUCACUGGUCGAGUCGGCCUGCGCGGAAGAUGUAACGGGGCUAAACCAUGCACCGAAGCUGCGGCAGCGACACUGUGUGUUGUUGGGUAGGGGAGCGUUCUGUAAGCCUGUGAAGGUGUGUCGUGAGGCAUGCUGGAGGUAUCAGAAGUGCGAAUGCUGACAUAAGUAACGAUAAAGCGGGUGAAAAGCCCGCUCGCCGGAAGACCAAGGGUUCCUGUCCAACGUUAAUCGGGGCAGGGUGAGUCGACCCCUAAGGCGAGGCCGAAAGGCGUAGUCGAUGGGAAACGGGUUAAUAUUCCCGUACUUGGUGUUACUGCGAAGGGGGGACGGAGAAGGCUAUGUUGGCCGGGCGACGGUUGUCCCGGUUUAAGCGUGUAGGUGUGUGUUCCAGGUAAAUCCGGUUCACUUUAACACUGAGGCGUGACGACGAGGCACUACGGUGCUGAAGCAACAAAUGCCCUGCUUCCAGGAAAAGCCUCUAAGCAUCAGGUAACAUCAAAUCGUACCCCAAACCGACACAGGUGGUCAGGUAGAGAAUACCAAGGCGCUUGAGAGAACUCGGGUGAAGGAACUAGGCAAAAUGGUGCCGUAACUUCGGGAGAAGGCACGCUGACACGUAGGUGAAGUGAUUUACUCAUGGAGCUGAAGUCAGUCGAAGAUACCAGCUGGCUGCAACUGUUUAUUAAAAACACAGCACUGUGCAAACACGAAAGUGGACGUAUACGGUGUGACGCCUGCCCGGUGCCGGAAGGUUAAUUGAUGGGGUCAGCGCAAGCGAAGCUCCUGAUCGAAGCCCCGGUAAACGGCGGCCGUAACUAUAACGGUCCUAAGGUAGCGAAAUUCCUUGUCGGGUAAGUUCCGACCUGCACGAAUGGCGUAAUGAUGGCCAGGCUGUCUCCACCCGAGACUCAGUGAAAUUGAACUCGCUGUGAAGAUGCAGUGUACCCGCGGCAAGACGGAAAGACCCCGUGAACCUUUACUAUAGCUUGACACUGAACAUUGAGCCUUGAUGUGUAGGAUAGGUGGGAGGCUUUGAAGUGUGGACGCCAGUCUGCAUGGAGCCGACCUUGAAAUACCACCCUUUAAUGUUUGAUGUUCUAACGUGGACCCGUUACCCGGGUUGCGGACAGUGUCUGGUGGGUAGUUUGACUGGGGCGGUCUCCUCCUAAAGAGUAACGGAGGAGCACGAAGGUUGGCUAAUCCUGGUCGGACAUCAGGAGGUUAGUGCAAUGGCAUAAGCCAGCUUGACUGCGAGCGUGACGGCGCGAGCAGGUGCGAAAGCAGGUCAUAGUGAUCCGGUGGUUCUGAAUGGAAGGGCCAUCGCUCAACGGAUAAAAGGUACUCCGGGGAUAACAGGCUGAUACCGCCCAAGAGUUCAUAUCGACGGCGGUGUUUGGCACCUCGAUGUCGGCUCAUCACAUCCUGGGGCUGAAGUAGGUCCCAAGGGUAUGGCUGUUCGCCAUUUAAAGUGGUACGCGAGCUGGGUUUAGAACGUCGUGAGACAGUUCGGUCCCUAUCUGCCGUGGGCGCUGGAGAACUGAGGGGGGCUGCUCCUAGUACGAGAGGACCGGAGUGGACGCAUCACUGGUGUUCGGGUUGUCAUGCCAAUGGCACUGCCCGGUAGCUAAAUGCGGAAGAGAUAAGUGCUGAAAGCAUCUAAGCACGAAACUUGCCCCGA